CGAGAGUAGGAAUUAAAGGAGACGAUGUUCAGAAAACGCUUCAAUGUUGACAAAGAACGAGACAAUUGCUGAACAAAUUCGAGAUCGACGAGCCACGAAAUUCCUCUGCAACGAUUUCAAAUCCAAUCUCAAAUUCGAGCUGAUCGCGUGACGACGGCUUCUUUUUCCAAUUACCCUACCCAUUCUUAUUCAUUAACCUUCAAAGAAAUUUCUGAGAAUCAAAACCCUAAAAUCAACGAACGAAAUCGAUAACGAUGAAAACCAGAUCAAAACCCUAAAAUCAACGAAACAAUCUCAAGUAAGUUAUGAGGCAACAGAAUCUGAAUUGUGGAGUAUUUAUAGCGUACAAUUAAG
rnacentral:lncRNA from 1 species